rnacentral:rRNA from 1 species
AUUGAACGCUGGCGGCAGGCCUAACACAUGCAAGUCGAGCGGAGCGGCGGAAGGGUGAGUAAUGCCUAGGAAUCUGCCUGGUAGUGGGGGAUAAAGUCCGGAAACGGGAGCCAAUAACGCAUAAUAUCAGAUGAGUCUAGGUUGGAUUAGCUAGUUGGGGGGGUAAAGGCCUACCAAGGCGACGAUCCGUAACUGGUCUGAGAGGAUGAUCAGUCACACUGGAACUGAGACACGGUCCGGACUCCUACGGGAGGCAGCAGUGGGGAAUAUUGGACAAUGGGCGAAAGCCUGAUCCAGCCAUGCCGCGUGUGUGAAGAAGGUCUUCGGAUUGUAAAGCACUUUAAGUUGGGAGGCGUUACCAACAGAAUAAGCACCGGCUAACUUCGUGCCAGCAGCCGCGGUAAUUC